GGGGCAGAUGCGGUCACCGGGAUGGCGGGCCUGCUGGCCUGGAGCCAGGCGCCGACCCGGGCGCUCGGGCGGUUCGAAUCCGACACGCUCCCC
rnacentral:tRNA from 1 species